AUGGCCCUUCGUAGGGCUCGGCUGUCGAGAAGAACCCUUGCCUUUUUGAGUACCUUUCGUUUCCUCGGCAGCCUCGGCUGCCAAUGGGGACCCCAAAAAACACUUUGCAGUACCUGUAACAGUCUGAACAAACAAACAAAAAUUAAAACUUUCAACAACGGAUCUCUUGGUUCUGGCAUCGAUGAAGAACGCAGCGAAAUGCGAUAAGUAGUGUGAAUUGCAGAAUUCAGUGAAUCAUCGAAUCUUUGAACGCACAUUGCGCCCUUUGGUAUUCCUUAGGGCAUGCCUGUUCGAGCGUCAUUUAAACCUUCAAGCUCAGCUUGGUGUUGGGUGACUGUCCGCCGCCCCCGGGCGCGUGGACUCGCCUCAAAAUUAUUGGCGGCCGGUACAUUGGCUUCGAGCGCAGCAGAAACGCGAACUCGGGCCCGUCGUAUUGGCUCCCAGAAGCUAUCUUCACAAUUUUGACCUCGGAUCAGGUAGGGAUACCCGCUGAACUUAAGCAUAUCAA
rnacentral:rRNA from 1 species